GUGUCCUUGCGCUUCUUGAAGUCUAGCAUGUUGUUGUACAUUCUGGUGUCGUCUGCCUGCAGUUUGCGCUGACGAAGCUGCAGCAGUCUCUCCUACACGUGCCGGGGGCGGACCUGGAGCUCUUGCAGUCUGAAGUGUCCUCUGUGUGCGAGGAGGUGAGCCUGCUGCGCUCCGCUGGGCCGAGUCAGGAGGGGCCCUCCGUGGACACCAAGCCCCCUGACAGUAAUCCCCCAAAGCUAGAGGCGUCCCAGACUGUGGAGGAAAUGAAGAGAUCCAUUGAGAUCCUGACUGCAGAGUGCUCAGCCUGGGAGUCACUGCUGCAGAAACACCGCUGCCGAGCCGAGGAGAUGGCCAGGUCAGUGAUCUGUUCGGCUCUGCUCUCUCUGUCUGAGGACCUGGACAGCUCAGCUCUCUCUCUCAUCCUC
rnacentral:lncRNA from 1 species